CUACGUGCCAGCAGCCGCGGUAAUACGUAGGUGGCAAGCGUUGUCCGGAUUUAUUGGGCGUAAAGCGAGCGCAGGCGGUCAAUUAAGUCUGAUGUGAAAGCCCCCGGCUCAACCGGGGAGGGUCAUUGGAAACUGGUUGACUUGAGUGCAGAAGAGGAGAGUGGAAUUCCAUGUGUAGCGGUGAAAUGCGUAGAUAUAUGGAGGAACACCAGUGGCGAAGGCGACUCUCUGGUCUGUAACUGACGCUGAGGCUCGAAAGCGUGGGUAGCAAACAGGAUUAGAUACCCUGGUAGUCCACGCCGUAAACGAUGAGUGCUAAGUGUUGGAGGGUUUCCGCCCUUCAGUGCUGCAGUUAACGCAUUAAGCACUCCGCCUGGGGAGUACGACCGCAAGGUUGAAACUCAAAGGAAUUGACGGGGGCCCGCACAAGCGGUGGAGCAUGUGGUUUAAUUCGAAGCAACGCGAAGAACCUUACCAGGUCUUGACAUCCCUCUGACCGCUCUAGAGAUAGAGUUUUC
rnacentral:rRNA from 1 species